rnacentral:sRNA from 1 species
AGCUAGCAGUUGCUAAACUACUGGUAGUAAUCAUUCUCAUUCUCAAUCCUCAAUCCUCACCUGCGAAAUGAAACAACCCUCCAGGUACCGUGCCACCUUUCAGUCAAUGAAUAACUAGGUAAAAAUUUAUUUUUAGAUAUUGAGAAAUCCUUAAUACUACUAGUACUUGUAAAUCUUCAGCUAUACCCCCUCAUUUCCUCCCCUACCCCGCGAUAACCGGCUGCUGAAACACCGUGUGUCAUAGAGCUCUGCCCAGUGGGACGGGCAUAUAAUGUACCAGUGGCAUAAUAACAAUACAUAGAUGCAUACCAUUCAAAGCAUAUAUAACAUAACAUUUAUUCGACGAAGCUUGCCCCCCGGUAGGAAAUAAAGGUGGUAUUUAUGGUAUAUGUACUGUACAGUGCAAGACGCCCGCUGGCAGAGAGCUUGUCUGCCGGCUUUGGGGGGAUGGAACGAGCACAAUUAGACGUGUUAUUAUUACCAUUAUCAUAAAUUGUGCGCACGGUAUGUACAGUACAUACAUGGAGUCAUUAUCGCGAGAAGGAAUAUGAAAAUGAAUAUCAAAAGACUCUCCCAACAGAUGCAACUUGGGUUAACAUACGCAGAGCGAUAGUUGAAAGAAAAAAGAAGAAAAAAACCAUAAAACAACCAUAAAACAAUAAUUGGAGACAAUUAACCAACUACGUCAUUUUCAAUUUUACCAUAUCCGGGAAAAGGAC